UACGGAGGUGGCAAGCGUUGCUCGGAAUCACUGGGCGUAAAGGGCGCGUAGGCGGGGAGGUAAGUCGGGUGUGAAAUCCCUCGGCCCAACCGAGGAACUGCGCCCGAGACUGCUUCUCUUGAGUCCCGGAGAGGAAGAUGGAAUUCCUGGUGUAGCGGUGAAAUGCGCAGAUAUCAGGAGGAACACCGGUGGCGAAGGCGGAUCUCUGGGCCAUUACUGACGCUGAGGAGCGAAAGCGUGGGGAGCGAACAGG
rnacentral:rRNA from 1 species